GAGGGGAUGGCUCAGCGGCAGAGCAUCUGCUUAGCAUGCAGGAGGUCCUGGGUUCAGUCCCCGGUACCUCCA
rnacentral:tRNA from 1 species